rnacentral:rRNA from 1 species
UGCCAGCAGCCGCGGUAAUACGGAGGGUGCAAGCGUUGUUCGGAAUUACUGGGCGUAAAGGGCGUGUAGGCGGGCUGGUCAGCUAGAGGUGAAAUCCCAGAGCUCAACUUUGGAAUUGCUUCUAGAGCUACCAGUCUAGAGAUGGUUAGAGGUCAGCAGAAUUUCUGGUGUAGAGGUGAAAUUCGUAGAUAUCAGAAGGAAUACCGGUGGCGAAAGCGGCUGGCUGGGGCCAAUCUGACGCUGAGGCGCGAAAGCGUGGGGAGCAAACAGGAUUAGAUA